GCCGUCCAACUACCAGACUAUAUUCUGCAAUCGAAAUCAAUCGUGGGAUUAGAUAAGACUCGAAAUGGAAAACACGUAUAUAAAGACCACCUGUGCGCCUUCCGUUGCUUGGCCGUCCACCAAGGACACCAAACGAACCAACUAGAAAGUCAUACCAAGGCGUUAUUCCAGCGUUGGAUUCAAUAUGCAGAAGACAAGCAACUCGAUUCAACAAAUUUUCAAGGACUCCCGCUUCACCAGAUGGCGUAUUUCGAACAUUGUUUUAGCAUCAACGUCAAUGUGUACCAUCUACGUGACGACGACGUGGCACUCACCGUCUACAAAUCCCGUUGUCAUUAUCCAGACUCUAUGCACGUCAACCAAUAUGAUCAUCAUUUAUCAUACAUCUCGAACUUGUCGGCGUACACUCAGAAAUACCAGUGCAGGACGUGCGAUCGCCAUUUUAAAUUCGUUAACAACAUGAAACAUCACCAAUUGAAAUGUACCGGACAGACCGUCUACCGCUUCAAAGGCGGAUUUUAUUCCAAUCCCAAGGCGAUUAUUAUCCAGAUUUUUAAAGUUAUUUAGCAGAAACUGUGAAACUAACCAUUUAAAUUAAUUAUUGCUCUAUAAUUUUCAACGGUUU
rnacentral:lncRNA from 1 species